rnacentral:lncRNA from 1 species
GCCAAUGCCAACAUUUCUUCAAGGAAUGUAAGCGACGUGGAGGGUGAAACGGCGUCGUUGGGGACAGAUGCUUGACGAACGUGAAGGAAGGGGUGUUGAGCUGUUUCUGUGUGUGUCGUCUUUACUUUAUGGUGGCGGUAAUGGAGUAUUGGGGUUUCGGUGGUUAGGGGGCCUUAGAUUGAGUCUGAUGGAGAUGUACGGUCCGUGGUUAACCACGUAGGCGAUCUCGCCAGUGGUAGUUGUCUAGACGUGGGCGGUUUUACUCGUAGUAGUUACUGGUUACUGCCGUCACAUCUGAUUCCUCACCAGCAGGUUUUUUUUUCUUUCUUUAUUUCCCCGAAAUUUUGUUUGAAAUAACAUUUCUUUUAUUCCCUUACAAUUGUAAUACGAUGAAAUUCUAUAAUGUAUGGAAUCAAACAUAAAUAAAUUAAAUGACAUUAAAAUUUUAAAAUUUGUAUCAUAAUGUAUGAUAAUAGGACAUAUGAAAAAGAAAGAGAAGUAUCGAAUCAGUGAGUCAAACUUUCAAAUAAAAUAACAUAAUUAAGAUAAUAUAUCAAUAAGUCAAAUUGAUAACAUAAUCUAGAUAAUAUAAUAAUAUGAUAGUGUGUCGGUCAAAUAUACAAUUGUAUAAGAUAAGAUAAUGAAUAUCAUAUCAUAUUUCAUAUUUAAUUAAUAAUAUAACAUGAUACAUGUCAUUUAUCUUAUUUUAUAUUCAAUCAAAUAUAAAAUAAAAUAACUAAUAAAAUAUAUCAUCAUUUUAUUUUUUUAUAUUCAUUAAAUAUAUUAAUAUUAUAUUAAAAUAUAUAAUAAACAUAUCUUAUUUAGUAUAAUUUUAUUAAUUUUUUAUUUUUAUAUUAAUUUUUUUGUAAAAUAUAAAAUUUUGAGUACAAAAUUAAAUUGUGGUUAAAAAAUUAUUUAUAAAAUAAUAUCAAUAUGUAUAUAUAUAUAUUUAUAUAUAUAUAUAUAUAUAUAUAUAUAUAUAUAUAUAUAUAUAUAUAUAUAUAUUAUUUAAUAUAAUUUUUAAAUGUUUUAAUUAUGAAUAUUGUUAAAUGUAAGAAAUUUUUUAUUUUAUUAAUAAAAAUAUUAGAAUUUAGUAUAAUUUUUAUUCUAAAAAAAUACUAAAAAUUUGAAAAAUAAUAUAUAUUCUAUUUCAUUUUUUAAAUUUAUUUUACAAAUUUAAUAUAACAUAAUAUCAUAAAAAUGAUAUAUUACCAUACGCUUAUUUAAUAAGAUAUUAUAUCUUAAAUAUAUCUUAUCCUAUUUAAUUAUACCUUAUCUUCAAAUUUACAGACUCAUUUAAAUAUCAAUCAAACUUUAAUAAAAAAUUAAAUAAUUUAAAAUGUGUUUGAUAGCGUUUUUAAUAAGAUAUUUAUAAUUUUUUAGAAAUUUGAAAUAUAAAUUUUUUUUAAGAGAAUUAGCAUUUUCUGCGCUUCAGUAGCAGAAAACGUGUGGCAAAAAUAAUCAUAGAAAUCUGCAAGAGGUUCGCAGCCACUCAUAAAACGAUAAGUUGUUGCCGUAUCGGGUAGGUUAUCGUAUUCGGGGUGGGUCUCAGACUCUCAGGCUGUUUAUUUAUUAUUUAUUAUUUAUUAUUUAUUAUUUAUUUAUUUUGAUGUGGAUAAAACAAAAGCGUUUGAUAUGAACCACAUGUUUUUGAAGGCUAGGAAUGGGAGCACUUCAACACAUGUACAUGUGUAUGGAAUCCACCAAUCACAUCAACAAUAAUCAGCCGUAAAUCCAGCUCCAGUCUCAAGCCCAACUAGGAUUGCAGCCAAGGUGGGUGGGGUGGGGCUAUCCAUUUGUCUUCCAACACCGUCGGGUAGUCGGCCUUAUCACAGUAAGAAUUGCCCGUAUUAAAUAAAUUAGGUGGAAUAAGAGACAAGAAAUUAUAUUUAAUUAAAUAUAGAAUAGGAUAACGAUAAAAUAUAUUAUUUAACUAUUUUUUAUGUAUUCAUUUUGUAAAAUAAUUUUUUUAUUAUAAACUAAAUAUAUAAUUAAAAAAAUAUAAAAUAAUAUUAAUAUAUGUUUAGACCCUUAUUUUAGGAUUGGAGAAUCAAUUAGUGGUUUGAAGGAUGCAAUGGGGAGGAGACAGGUGUUGAUGGAAUAUUCUAGAGGAAUGUAUUUCUAUUAGGGGGAGUAAUGCCGUUAAGCAUGAGGAGAUAUUUUUUUGGCUUGGGGGGCAAGCUAGAGGGAGGGGGAAAAAUAUAUUUUCUGGGUUGUUACAAAGAGGAAAAGCUAGCUUGGGGACAAGGGAGGAAGGAGUUUUCACAGAGACAGUGGGAGACCAUGAGAUAGUGUAAGAAACUUGGAGUCGCAGGCUGUUUGAGAAAGGGGUAGCUUGGAGAGGGGGUUUUGGGGUGAUAGAGAGAUAUUUUUUUGGAGUUGCUUGGGAGUGUAAGGAAACGAAUGAGAGAUAUUUUUCCUGGUUAUAGCUUGAGAGAGAAACCUACUGAGAGAGCUGAAGCUGAGGAAUAGAGAUUUUUGGGCUGGUUCUUGGAAAGAAAUGAGAACUUGAAGACAAUCCGGUUCAAAUAGACGUUCUAGGUAGUUCAUUGUGAACUAUGCAUUUUCUCAUUUUGGAUGUUAUUUUACUUGGUGUCACUAUUGUUGAGGCCUCGCGUCCCUGGUGAUCCACGUAGUUGCCAAAUGGAUGGACGCACGAUCUCAACCAAUAUAGAUUCCUAGUUCAGUCAUCCCUACAAAAGGCGUCCGGACACACCCUCCGAUGAUUUUGUCAGCCAUGAUUCCGAGAAAUAAAUCAGUUGGUCUUUUACUAGGUAUAGCAAGCUUACCUUUCUCUUUGUGCGAAGGUCCAUAUAUAUAUAUCGUAUCAGAAGCUCUGUCUCCCUCUUUAAUGAUAGGGAGAUAUUUUGGCUUGUCAUGAUGCCUCUAGGUGGUGACAGGACCAUCAUCACUCGUAGGGCGGCUGACAGAGAUCGUGGGAGGCACCGCAGCUGUCAAAGAUCGUAGGAAGUGACUUGCCAUCAUUCAUGUCCUUUCACUCUGCAUGUGGCGAAACGUGAGCCAUGACAGGCUGUCGAAAUGACGUAGUAAGAUUUGCUUACUUUAGUCAACGAUCCGGACAAACAUAUCCAGAUAGGAUAUGUCGGUCGUCCGGAUGUAAUAUGACGAUCGUCCGGAUGUGAUGUUCGCGAGUGUCGUGUGCUUCUCCAUGAGGAAGUCCGGAUAGGAGAAGCACGCCACGUGUCUCCUUUGGGGGAAAUCCGGAUGGAGUUAAUCUGGAUAGAAAUGCGUGUCACGUGUCAUGGGGAGGGGUCCCUACAACUAUGGAUUUUUGCGUUAUCCAUGCAUUUGUGCUACUGAUUCUUCCUAUGUUUCCUUGAUUUGGUUUGAAAAACUAGUGAGGCUCUUUAUCAUGUUCACUAUGGAGUAUCUAUAUACAUCGACUGCAUUUUUUUGCUUUGAAUCAGUUUGUGUUUUUUCCACCAGUAUGAGCCCAUUGAGCGAUCAUGAAAUGUGGCUAUCUUUGGUUUGUUUUUGUUUCUUUUUCCCAUGCUCCGUUUCUUUGGUUGUCUUUCUCUGUUUUCCGCGAACAUUUUUGGUACAUUGCAUUAUGUGUAUCAUCUAUUGAUGAUGGUAAAGAUUGACUACUGGAUGUUGUUGGAGCUUGAUACCCCAAGUCCAGAAAAAAAGUGGUUCAGGUCCAAAGAAUGGUCAGCAGUAUGGGGCGUCAUUCGUGGAGGAGAAGUAAGAUGAGAAUGAGGAUGUGGUGGUCUUUGCUCGAGAUUUUCGUAAGUAUGCUGAUGAUUCCAAUGAAUUUAAUGAAAAUGAACAGAAGCCCUACAUAGAUAUGGAGGAAAAUCAUUAUGGACCUAAGCCACCUAAUGACCAGAAGAUUUUUGAUCUAUUAGAGCAGUAUGAGGUGGAUGCUUUUGAUAACUUUGCAUAUGAUGAUGGAUUUUUCCUAGAAAUCAAUGCUCUCUCAAACCCUAUUGAGGCAGAUUCUUCAGGUUUUAGCAUGUUUGAUGUGUACCUUACAUACCUUGAUGUAGAUGAUGGCAACUUACGACAAAUGGCUUUUGAUUCUUCUGAAAUGAUAGGAAAUGAAAACUCUCUUUCUAACCUUACACCACUUGAUCAAGAACCUGUGAAUGGAGGAGCAAAGAAAAUGUUUAUAAGUAAUAAGCAGCUCACAAAAGCAUAUGGCGACAGUGGUGCAUCUUCUUCAAAUAACAAUCCUGAGGUUAUAGAAUUUGAAUAAGAUAUCCCUUACCCGUUCACCAAACUGGCAAGUUAUCUUGUUGGAUGGUAUCUUUGCUUCUUCUGCAUUUGCCCCAUAUGCCCCUAUGCAAGGUGUAGCUCUUCGGUUGAACUCAACUAUGCAAUCUUCUAACUCAAUCCAUCUCACUACACCCUCUUGCCUUUCCAAACCCAUCACUACCUUCCAUCACCCAAUCCAGCAUUCAUUCUCCAUUCAUUCGUUUACAGUCUUCCAGCAUACAGGAAGUCUUAUAUGCAUGACCACUCUCCCUAGGCCCACUUUCACAGUCCAUACUUGCAUGCAUGCCUUCAAAAUUAUAGUUUGAAAAAUCCAGUUUUCAAAUGAUUUAAUUCACAACACCUCAUUCCUCUCUAAUGUUUAGGUUCAUCAAAAUUCCAUUUUUAAUAAAAUUUUGCUACCAUUUUUCUUUCUGGCAUGUAAUUUUCAUAAUUUCCAUGAUUUCUAAAAUAAGCAAUAAUUAAAUUUUGUAAUUCCAGAUGAUGGAAUUUAUGGAAUUGAUUCAUGCAAAAUAAUUUGGGCUAUGAUGGGGGCCAUUCUUAAAUUUUGUAAUCCCAGGUGAUGGAAUUUAUGGAAUUGAUUUUUACAAAAUAAAUUGGGUUAUGGUGGGGGCCCAACAUCGGUGAAUGUUUUCUCUAAAAAUAAAUUUGAUUGAAUUGUGAUAUCUGAUGAUUCAUCACUCUGUUUAGUAACAUGUGUGACAUAUUUUAUGCUCAUUCUUGUGCACUAACCCCAUUUUCUAAUAAUGCAUUGUCGUUUGCUGCCAAGGUACGCAUCCUCUCUCACUCUAACCAUCUUCCAUAUAUGUUUCGGCUUUCAGUGUGUGAUCAUGUUGAUAUCUAUUGAUUUCCUUAUUAGUUGUAAUGAUUGUUUUAUCUCAUUAGUAAAGACUCAUUUUUUGGGACUUAGAGGGGUGCUACGGUUUUUACUGUACCUUCCCAAUAAGUAACUUAACCCUCGAGCUUCGAUCUGGUUUUCCACAGACUACCUUUUUUAUAAUAAGGAGUCACACUUAAAGUUUUUUUCUUAUUUUAUUUACCAUUUAAAAAUAAUACAAAAAUAAGUGACGACUCUAAGUCAUUUUCUAUAAAAUAAAAAAAAAUUAUUUUCAAAUAAAAAGCAAACUCGCCAUCGGAAGCACAUGAGCGGAAAUGCAGGGUUCACAAAAUGAUAUAUAAAUUAUUUUUAUAUAUUGAAUAACAUAAUAUAAAAAUCUUUAUUUAUAAAUUUUUAGAUAUUUUAAUGGUAGAUAUAGUUAAAAAUAAGAAAAUUUUCAUUUUUAAAAAAUAGAAAAUAUUGAAAUAUGAUAUAAUUUUCAUUUUAAACAUUAAAAAUAAUGCAUACUUUAUAUUAUUAUUAUUUAUUUAUUUCAUAAUUUAAAUAUAAAUAUAAUAUAAAAUAACAUGUUUCAUUGAAUAUGUUAUCUUAUCAAUUAGAAGUAAUCAUUCUUUUUUUUUUUAUUGAAUUGGAAAAAACCUAAAUUAUUUUAUUUUUUUAUUUAAAUAAAUUAAAUCUAUUAAUAAUAAGUUUAUUUUAAUUAUAUCUAUCAAUUUGAAUAUAUUAUUUUUUAGUUGAAUAAAAAAAUAUCAAAAAUGAUUUUGUGUCGAAGAUAUAAAUUUUAAUUUAAAGCGUAAAAGGAGAGAGAAAGAGCUAGGCGGAGAUUCCCAUGAGUGACGAACAAAUAAAUGCUUGCCAACAUUUAUAGCCACCUACAAAUGAAGACAUUCAAUUUUUCAAAAAGGUUAAUUGUACGGUAGCCUAUUUAAAGAUGUGACCAUUAGAAAUUUAGAACGCUUCAUUGGCUUGUAAAAUAUCAAUCAAAACUUACUAUUACCAAAAAUGGCAUGAAAAUAAAAUAAAAUGAUUCUGCCCUAUCUAUCCUCUCCCACAUUUGAACUUGAAAAACAAUCUAUUUUUUUUAUACAAAUAUUCUUUUUAUUUACUUACAAGUUUUAAAAGAAACUACCAUUUUAAAAAAUUAAAUAUUUUAUAAAAAGAGGUAUUUUUUAAACAAAUUUUUUUGUUCAUUUAUUUUUAAUUAAUUUUUUUUCAUAUAUAUAAAACUAUUAUAUAUAUAUAUAUAUAUAUAUAUUAAACUAGAAAAGAUAUAAAAACAAUAAAAUUUUUAAUCAUACACUUUUAAUAAGGUUUAGAUUUAACCAUACAUUUUCAAUGAUCCAGAUUAGUAAGACGAUAUAUUGGGUUAUAUUUUAUUCUUGAAAAGUAUUAAAGAAAGGAAAAAAAAAUUAAAAUAUCAAAUUCUUAUGAUAAAUUUCAUUAUAAAAAAUAAAAGAAAAUAAAUUAUAAUAAAAUUUAAUUAAAAUUUGUAUAUUUUUAAUUAUUUAAUAUUUGAAUGAAAGUCCAAAAAUAAGUAAAAUGAGUUUGAAGUAAUAUCUAAAAAUAAUUUAUUAAUUGUACAUAUAUUUUUUUAUUUCAUUUAUUUUUUCUUUUCUUUAAAUUUCCCCCCUAUUUUCCCUUAUUAAUUACAUUUUAUAAUUUUUCAAUAUUAUCAUUUGAAUUUCCUUCCAUAGCUCACCCGUAUAUAAAUGGCCGGAAAAGGAAAAUAAAAAAUAAAUUAUCGUGAAAACACAAUUUCCAUGAUUUAAUUUGCAGGGUAAAAAAAUGGAAAAGCAAAGAAAAGAAACCCAGGAAAUCAGUGCCCCGCUGCCCCGUGAAACAAAGUCUUUAUCUAAUAUGAAAUUUGAUCCAAUAUAUUCUGUCUAUGGGGCCCAGCCAAAAUAACAGGAUCCCAAAGACGGCAUAUUGUUCAAGUUCUUAAUGAUACCCAGACAGCAAAAUCGCCAAGAAAACAUUUGCUUAUAUUUAUUCUGAGUGAACACAAACAAAUCCAAUAUAUGUAUAUUUUGAAAAAAAUAUUAAAAAUAGAGUUGACAUCCAAUAGUCAUUACGGAUAUCAUCAUCAAAUUUAGAGGAUAAUUUGAUAAAACUUAAUAAUUAUUACUUAAUAAUGACUUAAAUUAAUUUUUAAAUUAAAUUAUUAAUUUAAAAUAUAUUAUUUAAUUUUUAUUUUAAAUAUUAAGAUUAUUUGAUAAAAUUAACUUAAAAUUUAUUAUAAAUUAUCAAAUUAAUACAUUUAUCCUCAUAAGUUAUAAUUAAAAUAAACAAGAUCAAAUAACAAUAGAAGUAGGCUAUAUAGAGAUAAACAAAUUAAGAUAAAAAUAUCUACUUAAGAAUAAAUUAAUUAUUUUUAUUUAUUAUUUAAAAUUAUUUUUUAUUUUAAAUAUUAAAUUAUUUUACUAAACAUAUUUAAUUUAUUUAAUUAUUUAAAUUAAAUUAUUAAAUCACUUUAAGUUAUUAAGUUAUUUUCUAUACUUUAAAGAUUCAUUUUUCUUUUAAAUCUCAUUGCUACUUGUGCAAGGCCUGCCUCCAAACCUGAUAUUGUCCUAUUAGAAUUGAAGACCAUUGUUAAAGAAUGGCCCAAUAUAUCGGGCCCAUUACACUGAAGGGUAAGCCUAUCCUAAUUCUAGCAGAACCGCCUUAUGGCAGUGUUCAUCACCACCCAUUUGAAGAAAUAAAUAUACCAUAUGAUAAAAUGACAAAGUAAAUGGGAAGAAGAUUAGACAGGGAAAAGAGAAGUCCACUGCAUUACAAAAAAAGGGGUAUAAAAAGGGUAUCUAUGCAAUACUGACACCAGUUCCUUGCUAAGCACAAAAGGCUUUUGACCCGAAGGCAAAAAGGGGGAAUGGGGAACAUGCAUAUAAUCCUAUGCCUGCCUAACGAUAAGAGUCUUGAUUAAAGCCAAAAAGAUCAUCAUUAAAUUCAUCAUCCUCAGAGUUAUAUUCAUCUUCUGAAUAGUAUUCGUCAUCAAAAUCUCUAUUGCCUUCGUCCCAAAUAUUAUCCUCAUCCCAGAGUGGGCAGGAACAUGUUGCCUUUUUGUUCUUCCAUUCAGCACCGCAGGUAUAGCAGAACUCAUAACCGCAUCUGCAGAAACAAUAUAAGGUUGCUUCUUAUGAAAGAGAAACAAUGUAAACCUUUGGAUGAACUAAGUUAAGGAACAGCAUAGUAUAUUUGAAUCAUAUGUGAAACCCAUUUAUCACAACAGAUUGAUAGGUCAGCCUGGAUAACACAAAAUCAACCAAAUACACUUUCCUUUCCAAUCAAUCAAAUGGAAAAUAAACCCAAUCAUUAGUUAUUGUCACCAUGUAGAUGCCACACCUGGAUCAUGGAUCUUCCAAAUCUUCCAAGCUUUUUUAAUACCAACCAAAAAAAUAAAAGCCUAAAUCGCUGCAGAAGAUACUAAUAAGAACAAUAUACAAUAAUUACAACAGCUCAAAACAUCUUGUAGAGUUUUUUCUUUUCCAAACUCCAAUAAUUUUGGGAAACCAGUUGUUAUAAGAAGUAACCAAACACACUAAGAUACACAUUUAUUUUUGGUUGAGUAAAAAUGGGAUCUCAGGGAUGGUGUUCUAAAGGGGGAAAGGAAAUCUAUGUGGUCCAUAUGAGAGACAGCAAAAUUACAUUUCCAGAAUGUGGUAUUGUUUCUUUUAUAAUUACAUCCAUAUGAUGAGGUUUUUGAUGGACCUAAAAAAAAAAAAGGAAAAAACAUACUCCAUGCCGCAUCCUUAUGAUGCGACUACUAAAAUGUGAUUUUUGAUGGACUACACCCAAAAGGGGGGAAAUAAACACUCUACAUGACCUGGAAGUCUGAUAUGCCAAAUUUUGAAGCAGAUGGUAUACUUCUUUGUCUUCAUAUCAAUUGGUUAAUUGUUUUUCAAGGAAUAGGAUUUUGGAAGAAGAUUCUAACUUAUAUUGCAUUUAAUUGGAGUUGUUACAAAGGGUUAUCUUAUAUUGGGUCUUUUCUUGUCCACCAGGAUCCAUCUCAACAUCCUAAUUUUAGCAAUACUCCUCUUACUGCAAAUGUUUUCUUGAUUAACUGCAUUUUGUGCCAGAUAGUAUUGUUUGACUCAAGAUAUUUUUCGUUCAACAUGAUCACCAUUGGAUGAUGAGAGAACACAUUAGAUGCACUUCUCCACUUCAACCACCAUAGAAUAACAUUGCAAGCAACCCUAUCAAAAUUACCAGACUUAUAUUGGUGUAGAAAAGAUAAUUAAAAGAGAAAAAGGGGGAAAGAAAUCUCUUAUAGUCAUGAGGCAAAUAACUCGAAAUUGAAUCUAAAUGGAAAAAAGAAAAAUUUCCCUUCUAUCAUCUUACAAAGGCACUCAAAUGCUAACAAAUUGCUAGCAAUAGUUUUGAACUAUUUCUUUCACUUGGUUUCAACAUUUAAACUUAAGAAUAUGCAAAUUUGGCUCUGGGAAUGCAGCAUAUUCGCAAUCAAAUAUUUAAAGAAAGCAGAGCAAAGUAUGUGGUUUUCUCCAAUCUAUGCUUCUUCCCUCAAAAACAAAUUGCUAUUUGUUAAGGCUAUAUUUGGUUCUCGGAAAAUGAGGGAAAAUACGAGGGAAAGAAAAUAGAGAGAAAAAGUAGAAGGAAAAAAAAAUGUGAAGGAUAAUAAAAAAUAGAUUUAAAGUCAAUGAAUUAUAUUGAUUUAGUUUUUCAAACUCAUUUCACUUAUUUUCCUUCAUUUUAUAAGGAAUGAAUAAUUUUAAGAUGCAUAAAUUAUUUAACUUAUUUUAACACAUGAUUUUCUUUUGUAUUUUCUACAGUGAAACCAAACACAAGAAAGCUAUUUUCCCUCACAUUUUUUUCUUUCCCUUAGUUCUCUUCGGGACCAAACAUGGUCUAAAAAAAAAGGGAAAAUCAGUAAUGAUGCACUCAACUUUCAGGGAAGAAAGAUAGUACCUGCAAGUGAUGUGGAAGCAACCCUCAGCAAGUUCAAUCAAAUGGUUGCACUUCACACAUUGACGCCACAGAUUUCUUGUUGCAAGCGACUUCAGUUUUGCAUCUUCUGCCUGGGGAAAAGGAUUUGAUCUUUUGUACUCAAAGCAGGUCAUCUUACUAUGCCAAGGGACCAUGCAAUUGAUACAGAAAAGGCCAUUACAUGUCAUGCAUUUUCUAGCUCCAGCUCGUAUAGCACCAACAGAAGUAGUGUUGGCAUAUUCCAAAGCCUCCUUUUUAGACAUUAAUGCAGAGCAUCUAGGAUAUGGACAAUAAACUUUCUCUGUCACAGGAAUCGAGUCUUCCUUCAGACGUUGACUCAUAAUUCCAAUCAAUUUAGGUGUCAAGAAUUUCCCACAGCUGUCAAUUUUCAGCAGUGAUUUACAGCCUUCAUGAGGGCAUUUAGGAACCAUUCCAUGAAGCAACUUCACUUCCACAUGCUGUUUCAUACAAGAAAAGCAAUAGCGGUGCAGGCAACUAUCAACUGAAAACAUCUGACCAAUAUCAGUAUCUUCUAAACAAAUUAUGCAAGUCUCCUUCAAAUUAUUGCCAUGGAGAAAUUUUGCAGGUCUCAUGAUCUGAGAAUUUAUAGCAUCAUUUGCAAGUUUAAUCGCAAACUUAAUAUCAUGUCUUAUCACAAGAAACAGGUUACAGUAUGUGAAUUUUUUUCGAAGAACAGCCACCUGAUCAAGUAAUGCAGCAAUCUUACGGUUCUUAGGUGGCCAUUUGCCCCUAACCUGUAUUGAAAAAUACAGUAUUAACAACUAUAUUUCAGGCAUUUAAGACCUAAACACAAAACCGUUAAGUUAUAUAUAGUAAUAUCGAUGCCAUGUAGUUCUACACAUGCACAUGCACAAAGGGAAAAAGAUUCUUGGCAAGGAAUGAUAAAGAUACGAUGAAAAUAAUUUACCUAUCAAAAAGGAAAAAAAAUUGCAUCAAUUGCCUAAAACAUACUCCAAAUAAUGAUUCUUCCAGAAAAAGCACAUUGAGGCAAUGCAUGAUUGUCUAAAAUGGAUCCAUUAUUUUAAAUAGCAUUUAAAAGCACAAUACAAUUGAAAAGAAAAAGAAGUCCCACCAAAACUACUGUUGGCUCUAUAUAAUUCAGGGGCAUCUUUGAUUGUUCCAUGGAAAAAGAAAUUGAAUGUCUCCAUCACUAGCCGUGUGAUUCUAUCUGUUGAAGAUUUAGGAGUUAGUUAAUUUAGAAGAUUUCCUAUUUUUUAGAAUAAGAUCUAUAUCAGAUCCUGUUUUUAUUUGUUUUGUUUUCCUUGUUCUAUAAAUCUGGUUAGUUCCAGAUUUGUUAGGUACUUAAGAGUUUCAUGGGAUUGUUUCCCUAUUUAAUCUGUAACCAGCAUUCAUUCAAAACAAUGAAGAGUAAUUCCAAUUCUCAAAGCUCACAUGGUAUUAGAGUGUUUAAACUUUGAGACCUGAUUGGAUUUUUUUUUUUUCAGUGGCAAAGACUGCCAUGGUCAGAGCUACCAGAAGCUCGGCUACAUCCAGGGGAGAUGAGGACAGCAUUCAAAAUGUCUCCACAACAUCAAUCCAGAAUUUUGACUCCAACAAUCAAAACUCCUCUUCAAUUAACUGUUCAUAAACUGAAUGGUAAAAAUUAAUUAGAAUGGACCCAAUGUGUGAACCUGGUGAUCGAUGACAAGGUAAAGCUUAGCCAUCUAACCAGUGAGGUGAAGAAACCAACGGCAAAUGAUCCAAUGCUAAAGAUAUGACAAUCUGAAAACUCGAUGGUGAUUGCUUGGCUUAUCAACUCGAUGGAACUAACCAUCAGAAAACCAUACCUAUUCUUACCAACUGCAAAGGAAGCCUGGGACGUAGUUUGAGACACCUACUCAGAUUUGGAAAAUAUACCACAAAUAUUUGAAUUAAAGAUGAAACCAUGGCAGUUCAAGCAAGGAGAUCCUGAGGUGAUGACAAGAGUUGGAUCUGUGCUAUGAUGAUGAAUGGGAUUGUCCUAGUGCUAGUGUGAGAUAUAUGAAGUGGAUGGAGUAUGACAGGGUUUAUGUUUUACUGGCGGGACUAAACCAGAGACUUGGACAAGGUGAGAGGCUGAAUUCUGAGUAGGAAGCUACUACCAUCCAUCAGUGAGGUUUUCUCUGAAGUACAAAGGGAGAAGGCCAGAAGAAAAGUGAUGCUGAAUGAAGAACCGAAGCUGAUUAAUGAGGCUGAAAGCUCUGCCCUAGUAUCAAAGGGACUUGGCCAAGAUGCUUAUCGAAAGACCAGGAAAAAGCCCUAGUGUGACCGUUGUAAGAAAGCUUGGCACACUCGUGAGACUUGUUGGAAAUUGCACGGGAGACCUCAAAAUAGAAGAAAGAAAACAGGUAGUGGAGAUAGUUGAACCUUCCAAGUCUCUAACAAGGAACAGGGGCAUCCCACUCCUUCAGAUACAUUUCCUUUCACUAAGGACCAGAUAGAGCACCUGUUUUUUUUUUCUUUUGAUAGGUAAGGACCAGCUAGAGCACCUGUACACACUGUUUCAAUCUCCAACUUUCAAUGUAAACUGUAAUUGGUCUUCCUCUUGUUCUUUAGCUCAAAAAAGUAACUACCUUACAACUGCCCUAGUUAGUGUUAACCCUGCUGCUAAUCAUCCUUGGAUUGUAGACUCUGGUGUCCUUCAUAUUCCUAAUUUGUCAUGUAAUUUGUUGUCUAUUCGUAAACUCAUUCAUGAGCAAAAUUGUCAAGUUAAUUUUUUCUCUUCUUGAUGUGAAUUUCAGGAUUUGAACUCGAAGAAGAUGAUUGACAGUGUUAGGCAAAGAGAGACACUUCAUUUCUUUCAAGAUGGAUUGAACUUGAAGGGACAACCUCCAACUGCUUGUUUCAAUUCUAUUUCUGUUGCUAGUGACAAUGAAAUCCUGUUGUCACAUUUCAAGUUAGGACAUCCAAAUUUUUAGUAUUCAAAGUAUUUGUUUGCAAGCUUAUUCAUCAAUAAAAAUCCAUCUUUAUUUUAGUGUGAGAUUUGUGAGAUAGCAACAUCAUCGUGCAUCAUUCCUUUCAUAACCAUACAAAGCCUCAAAACCUUUUUAUGUGAUUCAUAGUGAUGUAUAGGGUCCCUCUAGGAUUUAUACACACUCCGAAAAGAAAUGGUUUAUCACAUUUAUUGAUGAUCAUACUUGCAUGUCUUGGGUUUAUGUUAUGAAGGAAAAAUCCAAAUCUGAACAAAUUUUCAAAGUUUUUUACAUGGUAUAAACUCAACUUCAAAUGAGCAUUCAAGUUUUUCACAUUUAUUGAUGAUCAUACUUGCAUGUCUUGGGUUUAUUUCAUGAAGGAAAAAUCCAAAUCUGAACAAAAUUUCAAAGUUUUUUACAACAUGGUAUAAACUCAGCUUCAAACGAGCAUUCAAGUUUUUCAAAGUGAUAAUAGAAAGGAAUAUUUAAUAAAAUCGUUAGGAAUUUUUUUGAGGAAAAUGAGAUUAUGCAUCAAAGUUCUUGUAAUGAUACUCCACAGCAAAAUGGAGUAGCUGAAAGGAAAAACAAACACCUCAUUGAAGUUGCAGGAUCCUUAAUCUUUAAAACUAAAGUUCCUAAAUAUUUAUGGGGGGAGGUGAUUCUUAUAGCCACUUACUUGAUCAAUCAAAUGCCAUCAAAGGUUUUUCAGUUUCAAACACCGUCAGAUUUUUUUUAAAAAUGUUUUCCCACUUCAAGGAUUUCUAUAAAUAUUCCCCUCAAAAUAUUUGGUUGCACUGCAUUUGUUCAUAUUUACAACCAUAAUUGUGGAAAACUUGAUCCACGAGUGAGAAAUUUUGUAUUUGUUUGCUAUUGUCCAACACAAAAAGGAUACAAAUGUUUGGAUCCAAUCUUAAAAAAAAAAACUAUUUGUUACCAUGGAUGUCACAUUCUUUUUUUAAUAACCAUCAUAUAACACCAUCUGCAGAUUUUAUUUUGAAAAAACCAAAAAAUCUAGCUGCUAACCUAGGACCACCUGUGGCUGACCUUCACAUAACACCAUCUGCAGAUUCUAUUUUGGAAAAACCAAAAACUCCCGCAUCUAACUCAGGACCACCCAUGGCUAACCCUAUUCCAUAAACACACGUGGUACCCAUAGAAACUAGUGCUGUAAAUACUGAAAAUAAUGGACAAUCCCUAAAUAUGCCAUCAGAAUCCGAAAUGUGUGAGAAACCAAGUACUAAACAACCUGAGGUCAUUGUCUACUCAAGGAAGAACGUAAAUCAAUGGAAGAAGAAUCCCACUUUGCAGCAAUGCCUUGAAUCUAACGCGAGAUCAAAACUGGAUUCUAUCAUUCCUACGAGUAAGUUUGUAUCUGAGCCAACUACAGUUAAGUCUAAUUCCCAAAUUGAAUCAAUCAAUGACUAAGAUGUUCCAAUUGCUAGCCGAAAAAGUUUUAUGAAAUGUACUAAACAUCCCUUGUCUAAUUUUGUGUUCUAUGAAAAAUUGUCCCCUUCUCUCUGUGCAUUCACUUCACAACUCUUUGGUAUGGAUAUUCCUAAAAAUACGAAGAAUGCUCUUAAUGUGCUUGAAUGGAAGGAAGCGGUUCUAGAAGAGAUGGGAGCCCUUGAAAAAAAAAUAAGGCUUGGGAAAGUAGUGAAUUUACUUGAAGGAAAAUCAACAAUCGGCUGCAAAUGGAUCUUCACAGUUAAGUAUAACCCUGACAGCUUACUAGAAAGAUACAAAGCUCCACUAGUGGCAAAGGGAUUUACACAGACAUAUGGUAUUGACUAUUCAGAAACAUUCGCACCAAUGGCUAAGCUAAACAGGGUGAGAGUGCUUCUAUCAAUUGUUGCAAAUCUCGAUUGAACCCUACAACAACUUGAUGUAAAAAAUGCAUUUCUCAAUGGUGAUCUAGAAAAAGUUUAUAUCAACUCUCCUCCUAGCUUUUCUAGAAGAUUCGAUUCAAAGGAAUGCAAGUUGCGAAAUUCAUUGUAUGAACUCAAACAAUCGCCUAGAGCAUGGUUUGAGAAAUUCACUUAGUCUGUUAAGAGAUAUUACACCUAGGGACAAACCCAUCAUACCUCAUUCAUAAAGUUUUCAUUUGAAGGGAAGAUCACAGUGUUAAUAGUCUAGAUGGAUACUAUCUUCAUUAGAGAUGACAUGUUCGAAAUGGAUAGGUUGAAGUAGUGUCUAAUCAAAGACUUGGGAACAUUGAGGUACUUUCUUAGAAUAUUAGUUGCACGCUCUAAGAAAGGCAUUGUUGUCUCACAACGGAAAUACACUCUUGACCUCUUAGAAGAAACUAGAAUGAGUGGUUGUAAACCAGCUGAUACUCCUAUAGAGUACAACUUGAAGCUAGGAGAAAAUGACAAAGGAACCCUUGUAGAUACAACCUGAUAUCAAAAGUUGGUACGUAAAACCAAUAUACCUAUCACAUACUAGACUAGACAUCACAUUUAUAGUUCGUUUAGUGAGUCAAUUCAUGCACUCUCCAUAUGAGGAGCACCUUGAGGUUGUAUACAGGAUUCUGAGAUAUUUGAAGAGCACUCUAGGAAAAGGAUUAUUGUUCAAUAAGAAUGAACAAAUGGGAGUUGAAAUCUUCACUGAUGCAGAUUGGACUGGAUCAAUCACUGUUAGAAGAUCCAAAGCUGGAUAUUGCAUCUUUGCGUGAGGUAACCUAGUCACUUAGAUAAGAGAAAAACAGAGUGUGGUAGCACAAAGCAGUGUUGAGGCAUAAUAUUAUAGAGCAAUGUCACAAGGAAUUUGUGAGAUUGUGGCUAAAGAGUGUCCUAGAAGAAUUAAAUAAGCCAAAUACUCUUCCUAUGAAGUUGUAAUGCAACAAUAAAGUAGCUAUCAACAUUGCACACAAUCUAGUGUAGCAUGAUAGGACAAAGCAUGUCGAGACUGAUAGACACUUCACAAAGGAGAAACUUGAGGUUGGUGCUAUAUGCUUGCCGUUUGUUCCAACAACGCAACAAAUAGCAGACAUCCUAACUAAGGGACUCCUGAGGCCUAACUUCAAGUUUUUUGUUUGCAAAUUGGGAAUGAAAGAUAUCUACGCACCAACCUGAGGAGGAGUGUUGAAGAUUUAGGAGUUAGUUAAUCUAAAAGAUUUCCUAUUUUUCAAAAUAAGAUCUAUUUUAGUUCCUGAUUUUAUUUGUUCUAUUUUUCUUGUUCUAUAAAUCUGGUUAGUUCCAGAUUUGUUAGGUAGUUAAGAGUUUCAUGGGAUUGUUUUUCAAUUUAAUCUGUAAUCAGCAUUCAUUUAAAUCAUGAAGAGUAAUUCUGAUUCUCAAAGCUCACACUAUCAAAUUUUACAUUUUGUACAAUGGUCCCAUUUAUUAUAGUCAUAUGUUUGACUGUCCAUGAACUGCAGGGAAAUAGAAAAGAACUUGAAUAAACUAAUAUAAAUUUUUAACAUAUUUUAAACUUGAGAAACCAAAAACCUUUGUUAUUUAAAACCCAUUGAGAUUCAUCUUCUCAUUUGUUUGAAACCAAAACAAGAACCAAAGGACUCAAAACUCUAUUUCCUCAUUUUUUUUUCAGCAACAAAUAAUAAUGGCAUUUAGACAUAAACUUGCAUGCACAACAAAAUGGGCAGUUCAGUUAUCAGCUGACCAUCAUUAAGCUCCUUAAAACAAUGACUUCAAAAGAAAUGAAAUAUACACACAAAAGCAAUAAGUCAUAGCUUUUGCCAAAGGUUCAAAAUUUCCCAUCUUCUGUCACAAACCCAUUUCCAACCAUACAUUUGAAAAAAAAAAAAUUACACGUACAACACUAGCAAUUCAAUUCCCACUGAAUCCAGUAAAAACACACCAAAAAUUCAUACCUUUAUAGACAGAAUUUAACAUUCAAGAUAGCAAUAGCAUUAAAAUUCCACAUAAAUAAGUGAAAGAAGAUAACAAUAACAUUCAAAGUCAACAAAGAAAAUUGAAAGAAAAUAGCAGUAAAAUUCAAAAUCUACCAAAAGAAGUGAAAGAGGAAAGCAAAAGCAUUCAAGACCCAAUAUAAAGAAUUUAAAGGAGAUAGCAAUAGAAUUCAACUUAAGGAAUUAAAAAACAAAAGACAAGAAUCAAGAGGAACUCACACGCUGGUAAAGCGGCUGAUGAUCGCAGAAAAGGUCGACACGCGUCAAAUCCAAAGCAAGCGCUGCAUUGAGCGCUUCGAUCAUUGCCCUAGUCUCAGCGUAUUCAUGGCUCUUCCCGCACCCCACCAAUGGCUUCUGCAAUUCGAAAACCAAAUUGUCCCUAAAAUCACAAAUCGAAACGCCGAUCCCCAUAAUCGGCUCCCUCGAAUUCCCAAUCUUCUCCUCACGAGCCAACCCCUUGAAAAACACCCUAAACACCUCCCCAGAAGACGACCCCUCCCCGAACGGACGCUCGUAGUUGUCGCCGUACUCCUCCCAUUCCUCUUCCGGCAUCUGAGAGAUUUCCCGCGCAAGCUUCUGAUCAUGCGCUCGCCGAUGGAUAUCCUCACGCAGCUUCGUCAUCUCUGCCUCGCUCUGCUGGCGGUCCCUGACCUCCUGUUCGAGCCGGUCAAGUUCAUCCGUCUGCAAAGCCCUGAGGCCCGAAACGAAGCAGUCAGUGUCGGGGUUUUGCACUCGUGGCGGAGACGACGAUGUAGAUGGGAGAGAAGACAUAGAAGCCGCGAGAGCUUCUUCGAGUUGGAGGCGGAAUGCCAAGUCGAGGUCUGACUCCAGGGUUUGCGCUUCCAGGAGUUCCCGCCGUUGAUGGGAGACGACGGACUGGAAGUCUCCCGAGUCGGAGUCCGCUGUCGCCAUCUCGCGCUCUCUCUCUCUCUUCCUGCCUUUCACGGUUGCUUGUUUUUGGAGUUUCCGGGAUUUAAAAGCUGCGGAAUACAAGACUCAAAAGACUCAAGGAUUCAUCGGUUUUUUUAUAAGUCUAUGCUAGUUUUAAAAAUUAAUUCUAAUGAAAUCUAUUUCAGAUAUUUUUACUAAUUAAAAGUAGAUCAUUUAUUUUCUUUAAAUAGGAAAUAUCUGUAAAAUUGGGCUCUUGAAGAUAUGUUUCUAAAAUUCUUUAUAAAAAAAUUCAGCCUAAAAUCAUUUCUUGAAGGAAUUAUUUCCUUUUAUUAUCAUUUUUUAAAAAAAAAUUAGAUAAAAAUAGUCUCUUAAAAAGAUUAUUUUUCUUUAAAAAAAUUAAUAUGAGAAAUUAUCUUUUAAUUAAUAAUAUAUUUUAAUAACAAAAAUAUUAUAAAUAUAUGUAUUGUAAAAUUAAUUGAUUUUAUGUUUAUUAUUAUUAAUAUAUUAUUUAUAAAAUAUAAAUUAUAUUUAACAUCUGAUAUUAAAAAAAUUAUUUUAUAUUUAGUUAAAUAUUAAUUAAAAAAUAUUUCAAUUUUUAUCCUUAAUUUUUAUAAAUUCCUUUUAAAAAUAUUUUAGAAAUCAUUUAUUUGAAAGAUUUUCAUCUAUAAAUUUAAAAGAAAAUAAAAUUAAUCAAUAAAAAAUAAAAAAUUUAAAUUUUAUUUUCCAUUACAAUAAUUUAAAUAUUAUUAUUUUUAACUACCAUACACUUAUCAAAAAUCGAUUAUUUAUACAUUUAAAAAUAAUAAUAAUCAAUAAAAAAUAAUAGAUUUAAAAUAUUUUUUUCCACUACAAUAAUUUAAACAUUAUUAUUUUUAACUACCAUACACUUAUCAAAAAUGGAGAAUCCAUCCUAAGCGAGCAUUAUUAAUUAAUGUGAAAUCUCUCGGGAUUGUUUUGGAUUUUCAUAAUUAUUUCAUAUUAGAUAUAUAUAUAGGCUGACGUCAUGCUUUUAACGUUGUUGCUCUGAUUAUCAUACUAUAUUACUUCCAACGUGUGUUAAACUUUAUCACCCUCAUCUCAUGCGUUUCCUUCUCUUUUCGUCUUUUUAUUUAUUUAUUUAUUUUUAUUUUAUAGAUUAGAAAAAUAAUAUCUUUACUUGGGGUAAUUACAAAAAUAAAAUGAGAGUAAUUAUUUAAAAAAAAUUAAUAUUUGAGGUAAUAAAAUUCUUGUCCACUAUUUCUCAACGUUCCAAAAAUAAUCAUUGUACGAAUUUACUUAUAGUAUAUUUUUUAUGAUAAAAAUAAAUUAUAUUUAUAAAUCUACAUCCAUAUAGAUAAGAAGAAAAAUGUUCAAAAUAUAUCCGUGAUUACCAAUAAAAGGUUUGAGGUUCAACUCAUCAGACCAUCAAGGCAAGUUUGCCUUUUGUUAAAUGUAUUACACUUAAAAUAUAUAUUCAAAAUCAUCAUAUAAAAAAAAAUUUUAAAAGAAAAUUUUGAAGAGUAAAUUAAUUAUAAUUAUUUUAUAAUUAAAUAAAAAAAUUUCCUUUUAUUGAUUACCAAAAAUAUAAAAAUUAUCAUAAUAAUUUUCUUCAUAGUGUUUUUAAUAUUAUUAAUAAAUUAAUUAAAUAUUAAAAAAUUGUACAUAUAUCAUAAUUUAUUUUAUAUCAUUUAAUACAAUUGAAUUAAAUGGAUCAUAAUUUUAAUAUUAAUAUAUAUUUUUAAGUUAGACAUAUUAUAAUCAAAUAUUAUAAUAUUAUUAUAAAAUAAUAUUUAAUGUAAUUUAAUAAUAAAUGUAGACUUAUAAAAUUCAUAUUUUUAUCCAUGCAUACAAUAUUAUUAUCAAAUAUGAUAAAUCAUAUUAUACAUAUAUCAAAUUCUUUAAUAAAAAAACUUUAUCUCCGAUAUAUCCAUAUAUAUCCGUGAUUACCGAUAUUUUCAUCCUUACAUAUAAAUACUAUAUAUAAAAUUGUCCAUAAUAUCCUUAUUAAAACAUUAAAUUACCAUCAUAUCCAAUUAUAUUUAUUAAUAAUUUAUUUUAAUAGGAUAAUUUAUUAUCAUUUAUUAUUAAAAUUACGUGAAUAAAAAUUUAUUAUUUAAAUAAUUUGCAAACCUAUAAUUUAUCAUUGUUUAUUAUUAAAGAUAUAUGAAUAAUGUUAUACCAAAGUUCAGUUAAUUUCGGUAUUAACGAUUACAAAAUAAAGAUUAAAACUAAUGAUAUUUUUUAAGUGUAAUUGUUAUGAAGAUUUCAAAAGAGACAUCCAAAAAGAUAUAUCAAAAUAAAAGGAAAUUAAGAAGAAAAUAAGAAAAACCUAAAAGAUAUUAGGUAUGAAGAUUUUUAAAGAGAUGAUAAAAAAAUAUCAAAAUAAAAGAAAAUUAAGAAGGAAACAAAAUCUAAAAAAGAAGGUUUUAAAGAUCAUAUUUGUUUUAGAUAUCUUUAUAAGAUUGUUGGUGCGUUAUACUCAUAUCAUGUUUCAUAUUUUAUUAAAACAUUUUUUUUAUGUAUAUGAUUUUGAUUAAAAUCUUUUUAAAUGAAAAUCACCCUUUGAUUAGUGCUAUUCUCGAUUAAAAGGUUUUAUAAUAUCAAAUAGAUGAAUCUUAAUUUAAUCUUGUAUCCAUUUGAACAUAAUCUUGUACUAGGAUUUUAUUCUCAUCAAUUACAAUUUUUAUGAGGUGGUAUUAAGCUUGGAAUCACUUACGAGCAAGAUUUCUUAUAAGAGAGUCCAUAGGUGUUGGGCUUUGUGGAGCCUAGUUUUGUUUGAUCCGGUUUGACGACCCGACCCGAAUAAUAUUGCAUGGCCUUUUUAAUGGGAGAUUUAUUGAGGCAUGUUGGGCCCGUUUAGCCCAUUGUGGAACCACCUUUUGUAAUUAGGGUUUUUUAGUAUGGUAGGGUUGCCGUGCUAUAUAUAUAUAGAGAAUAUUGUAGCCGCCAAGUAGUACUCUGUAUUCUUCCCUGAUAAUAGUGAUAUCCCUGCAACUCCGUGGACGUAGGCAAAUUGCCGAACCACGUAAAUACUGUCUUGUGCGUGUGAUUGUUUUUCUUUGGCGUGUGUUUUUCUCUAAUUUUUUUGUUUCUCACGGGUUGGGAAUUCGGUUUAAUUCCCUACAAUAGGAACCAUAAUAUACGGGGGAGAGUUUGAAGACUUCAACUUCAAAAGUCACAUGGUUGUAAAGGGUGUCUUGAAACUAUAAUCCAAGUGUAAAACUUGUGGAGUAGGGUUGGAAGCAUUGUUAAUAGGAUACUAAUUUGGUUAGAGUUUAAGGGAUGUGGAUGUAAGUUAGAUUGCAUUCAACCACUAUAAAAUUGGGGGAAUUACCCUUAAGGGUAGGCUGGGGGAAUAAAUGACCAAUGAGGGUAGGUAACUAUGAUAAGUCUUGUAAAGGGUAAGGUCAAAUGAUGAUAAUUCCUACAAAGGACUUAUUUUAUUUUAAUGUCAAUACUACCCUUAAGUGAAAAGCAAGGAAAGUGAAAAGUAACGGAAAGUAAAAAAGUGUUUAUUCUCCCUUUCUUUAACCUAUCUGGAAAGUGAAUUAUUUUUUACUGAUUUGGCAUUUCUAGGCUAUCAUGUUGUAUUCCUAUCAUAAAGCAUCCUUGCAAGCCAAAAUUAUAAAAAAAAAAACAACAACAAAAAUACACUAUUGUAAUUUCAAUACAUGAAGUUGUUGAUGAUAAUCCAAUGAUGGAUAAAAAAAAUCUAUAAAAUUAAUUUUUUUUAUAUAAAAAUAUAGAGGUAUAAUAAAAAUACAAUACAAAUACAAUAACAUUACGAUACAUUACGAUAAGGUAAAAUUUUGAAAAUGUCAAAUUUCUUAUGAAACUGGGCAAUUAUGGGUUCUUUGGCAUAUCCCUAACAUGUAUAAUAUACAACAAAUAUUGUUAUUUAUUAUAUAAAAUAUGUCUCUCAAUUGAUUAUAAUUUUCAUUUGUUUAUUUUGUAUUCGUUGUUCAAUUUUCAUUGAUUGUAAUAUUGUGAAAUAGUUGUUGAUGAUAAUCCAAUGAUGGAUAAAAAAAAAAUCUAUAAAAUUAAUUUUUUUUAUAUAAAAAUAUAGAGGUAUAAUAAAAAUACAGUACAAUUACAAUACAAAUACAAUAACAUUACGAUACAUUACGAUAAGGUAAAAUUUUGAAAAUGUCAAAUUUCUUAUGAAACUGGGCAAUUAUGGGUUCUUUGGCAUAUCCCUAACUUGUACUUUAUGACCUUGUCCUGUACAAAAGAGUAUAUAAUAUAAUAUUAAGAAAAAUUCAUGAUCAUAAAAAAAAUAUAUAUAUAUUUUAUUCACCACAAUAUAAUACAUUUGCAAUUGCACGAGAAAUUCCACGGUUACUCCAUGCUUCCACCAACCAAGUUAGCCCAAAAAAAGAGAAAAAAAGCCAACCCAAAAAAAAGAAAAUCAAAUCAUACUUUUCAAUUUACUGUAAAUGCAAUUUUAUAUUAUAAUGUGUCACCAAAGGUUCAAAGACAAGGGUUCUGACAAGGGUGGUUUUGGAGGUGGAGGCGGAGGUGAUUCAGACAGGGGUGGUUUUGGAGGUAGGGGCCGUGGAAGGAGGGAUCAAAGUGGUGGCUGGAACAACAGAAACAAUUCUGGUGAGAAUAAUAAGUCCUUUGAAUGGAACAAAGAGUCAAACAAUAAUGGGGAAGGGUGGAAAGGUCAUGAUGGUGCUGUCAGUUGGGGCCAAGGAGGUGGCAAUAAGGGGCCAAGGAAUUGGAAUUCUGGGACUGGCAGAACUAGCAAUCAAUUGAGGGUAAAUUAGUCUAAUAAAAAUAUAAGGCCUUCAAAAGAAUUAUCAAAGUUACCUACCCUCAUUGGUCAUUUAUUCCCCCAGCCUACCCUUAAGGGUAAUUCUCCCAAAAUUUAUGUUUACAUUUCUAUAUCACUUUUCUCUUUAUUUUACAUGCAAUUAUUUUUCCAUUACUUUUAUAUUACAUGUAAUUGUCACUUAUAUUAUUAAUUAAAUUUGCAACAUAAAUAAUCUAUUGGUAUGUUACUUGUACAUAAUUGACUUAGAAGAUGUGGUAAAAAAAAUGAUACAUCGAAACUUAAGAAAUUAAAAAGUAAAAUUAAAAGAUGGUUAUUAAUGGUAAAAGAUGAAAAGACUUAUUCAAAAGAGAGAUGUGUUGUCAAAAUUUAAUGCUUCAAAAUAUAAAAGGGUUUCAAGUAUGGGAUGAUUCCGACAAGGAGUGAAUUGAAAAAAAAAAAUAGAAGUUAUUCAAUAUUAUAUUAUGAAGUUCAAUUUGCUAUAUUACGAAGUUAUAAGAAGUUACUUAAUAAUAUAUUAUCAAGUUACUCUCUAUGUGUGUUUUAUUUUAUUUUCAAAUUUAUAAUUUCAACCAAGAAUUUCUAAGAGUAUAAACAUAGAGUCUAUGCUUGUAUGGCUUGCAACAAAUCCAUGUUUGGAUGGAUGCUUUUACAAAUCCCAGAUUUGUUGUGAAGAUUUAAAUUAGGAGGGCAAAAUCAGUGUACAAACUCUUUGAUAUUUAUAUGAUGCUUGCUCCUGGAUUUGGAAACAUGCAAGUUGUUUGAUAAAAUGGGUGUGAGAAUUUGAUAUUUGUUUGAAUUUCUAUGAAAUGAUGUUUUUAAUGCUUUGAUAUUUUGUAUCUAUGGGUUUCAAGUUUCCAAAUCUUGACCCGACUUGAUCUAGACCAACCCAAUCAUGGUUUUAUCACCUUAAGCAAACCUAAAUACAAUAAGAAUUUAAUAAUUUAAGCUUGGGUUAAAUUAAGUUCGAAAUAAGGUUGAGUCAAACUUCGGGUUGAUACAUUUUAAGCUUGGAUUGACUCACAACUUGACCCAACUCACAAAGUUGCAUUGUGUAAAUGAAAUUGAGAGCACCAAGUUUGCAUAAGUGAACCAGAACUAUAGGGUAUUUACAUGCAUGAUUAUGUGUAGCCAAUCACUAUCUCUCUGCAUUACACGUACUUAUUCAACACAUCCAUCACGUAAAAUCUAUCUCACUUAGAAGUAGGAUGAUAAUAGAUCAUGUCGUAUUGGGUUUUUGUUGUGUUAAGACAAAUAAAAAAAAGGUGAAAAUUUACUCAAUUUGAAUAUGACUCAUUUAAUAAAUCAUAUUAAAAUUACCUAAUACAACAUUUUUAUUACAUGGGUAAUACAACAUGAUCUAAUUAACUUGUUUAAUAAAUAAGUAAAGUUGAUAUGUGUAUGAAUCGAUACAAAUAACUUGUUAACUUGAUGCUAACCUAUUCACCAUUUAGCACGAUUUUAACUUAUUAACAUAAUUUUAACUUGUUUAUCUUGUUUAUAUGAUUUUAACCAAUUUAAGUUAUUUAAAACUUGAAAUUUAUAAACAUAUUAUUUAAAAUAUAAUUUAGUUGCUUUAAAUUUUAGCUUUUCUUUUUUAAAAUCUUAAUUAACUUACUUAUAUAAUUUUAAUUAUAAUAUGUUUAUAACAUAAAAAAAUAAAUUAAAAUUUUAAUUAUAAAAUAUUUUUAAUCUUUAUGAUUAAAUAUAUAAAUUUUUACUUAAUUAAUUAUUUAAAAUUUUUAACUACAUGAUAUUUAGUUAAAAAAGUAUUUUUAAUUUAUACAAUUUUUAAAUAUAUAAACAAUUUAUUGGGUUAAACAAAUCAUAAAUGGGUUGGAUGAUAAACGUGUCAUUUUAACACAAUUAAGUAAAUACACUAUUAAUUUGACAAGAAUAACUAAACAGGUUAAACAAGUUGAGUAGUCAAAUUUGAACACUUGUUUAUUAAAUAGGUUAUAUGAAUUGACAUAAUUAUGACACUAACACAACUACACCUAACUCGAAUCCAUUGAAAUUUUUAUAAUUUUCCAGUUGUGAGUCAAAAUUGUCACCUUCGCUGAGAAGCCACUUCGCGAAUGAUGUCACAUAUGGCAAAAUGGGGAUACAAAGCCAAAUCCUUAAGCGUACCAACUAGGGGUAAGCAAAGUUGCACUCAAACUAAAAGAUGAUCAAGUAGUUGCUUGUGGAAAAUGACUAUUUGCACGGCCAUGAAUACAUGUAUGUAUACUAAUUCUUAUGUAAAGUGAAGUUGUUUCACUAAACCUAUGAGAAUAUAUGCUAGAACAUCAAUGUUUCACUUCUAUGGGAUUUUACUCUAAAGAUGUGACUUGUUGGGGAAGAAAAGGGGUUGCCACGCAGCUUAUGAGCAGUUCAUAUAAGUAUGGUAGUACUUAGAGAUUUUUAGGAGGGUAUACAUUAUAUAGUUUAGUUUUCUUUUAAUUUAUGUAGUAAAUCUGUGAGAAACUAAAUCGACUUGUAUCCAAAUGGAGAGUGCAAUCUAAGAGAAGAUCUCAUGUGGUAAUCAAUUUUGUCCCUAUUUUUAGAUUCCUCAAUUUUAGUAAUUAAUAAGAAAAAUAAACUUUCUACAAGUAUGUCAAGAUCAGAUAUCUUUGAUACUUAUUUAAAACUUUCUACAAUUUUGUCCCUAUUUUUAGAUUCCUCAAUUUUUAGUAAUUAAUUUUAGUAAUUAAUUAAUUAGCUUAGUGAAUGCUUGUUAUUCAAGCUUGAUUCAUUGAUAAGAGAGUUUGAUCAGUGAUAUGUGAACCCUUUGGAUUAGACCUUGAGAUGGGUAAUAUUUUUAAAGCGUUGAGAUUGGAAUGCUAGCAAAUGCAACUAUUUUAAGAUAAAAAAGAUCUUAUUCGUAAUUGAAAUAUGAACUUAAAAGCACAACCUACUCUGGAUAGUUUUAUCAUUUAUAUUAUUUGCUUUUGUUAUUAUAAAAUUCUCUAUUAUUUUAAGUAAUUAAAUCAAUUCUCAUUGAGUUAGUUUAGAUUAGGAUAGAAUUUCACGGUAGUUUCAAGUUAGGAUAAAUUUUAAAGUAGUUUCAAGUUAUGUACCAAAUCUUUUCCAUGGAAACUCCUUUGCAUUCCUUAUGAAGAUGAUCAAAUUGUUAUACUAGUAGCCAUAUCUUUUUCUUUUUCAAUUCUUUUUUUGGUUUAAAAGACAACAACAACUAAUUUUUGAAUUAAAAUUAAGCAAAAUUGAACCACAAGAAUUAGGCAAUGAAAUAAGUCAUUGAAGGAUGAAUAGAUGAUGGAAUCAGAUGCUUUUCACAUGUGAGAGCCUCUUGAAUUGCCCCUCUCCUUAGGAUCAUUAAUUAGGUAUGAAAAAAACCAUUGACAUGGUGAUCGAUCCUAACCAACCUAACUCCUCUCUCUCAAAAGUGCAAACGAAAAUGACAAAUGAACUAAGACUAACUACUUCAUAUAUUUUUUUCUAUUUGUUCCUACCGUUGUUAUGCCAUGUCUAACUUGAGCAUCAAAUAGGCGAUGGUCGUCCUAGCCACCCUCUACCACCUUGGCCUUGUGUUGUUAAUAUUUUACAACACCUAAUCAACCACACUACACAUUUCCAACAUGUCAUGACUCUCAUGGUAAAGUGGGUAUAAUAUUAUUUUUAUAUCAACCAAUUAAUUUACCAUGUAUUGAAAAACAAUCAAGUAGUUGACCAUUGGAGUCAUUUCUUUCAAAUUAAGAUUCACUAAUUUCUUUAACAAAAAUACUUUGUUGUUAGUAGUCUUUUUUUUUUUCAAACAUUAUCUCCAAUUUCUUUCAACGAUUAUGAACACUAGUUUCAUCAAUCAUAUGGUGGUAAAAAGUCCAAUCAAUUUAUUGAUCAAUGUAGACAAUUGUUUUUCUUUUUCUUCUUCCAUUCAAAUUCAAUGGUAUACUUGGAGCUAGCUUUUUCACUUUUAAAAGUGUUUAUGACAAAUCUUUGCUUGUCAAAAAAAAAAAAUCAUCAUUGACUUUCACAUAGCCUAAUUUGAUUUCUUGAGUUCUCUUUAAUUUUCAUCUCUUUCAAAAAAAAAUAAUAAUAAUACAAACUCAUGCACUUGUUGGAAAUAAGAAAAAAUAAAGCAAAAGCAAACUAUAGACCCCCUCUUCGGAUUUGUUUUUUUUAUAUAUAUAUGCAUUUAUUUUUUUUAGUCUUUCCCGCCACUUUGGGGAACACCCGGAAGAAGACAUUUGGAGUGGGGGACCAGCUUCUAAAAAACUCCAUGCAUGAGGCGCGUGGCUAUGGAGAGGACUACAACCAUGGUGGUGGUUGGGACUACACGUGAUGUUGAGCAGGGAACUUUCCGGAUCGAGAGAGGGAGCCAUUAGAGGAGGCCAUUAGGAGAAGAACACGGGGGGGGGGAGUGGCUGUUUUUGGAGAAGAUGAGGGAGGAUCUCCAAGUAAGUUUAUCAUGGUUUUCUAGUCUUUUUCUUAUUAUCAUAAUUUAUCCAUUACUCUUCCUGCUGCUUCUGGGUAUUGUUUGAUGGCUUGAGUGUGGGUACCUUCAUUGUUUGAUUUCUAUUGAUUUUAUGGGAUGAAUGUGGAUUUAUUGUUAUAGUUUUUUUGUCUCUCUUUCCUCUUGGGUUUUGCUAGAAGAUGACCUCACUAUGUUUCAAUUCCACUAUGAAAAUGCUUGAGAAUUAUGUUUUGUUCAUAUUGACAUGGAUUUUCCCACCUAGUUAGCAGGCUCACUGUCGACCCAUGAAGUGAAGCUUUAACUGAAAAUAUUUUAGCCUGUUCUCUUUGUGCUCUGUUUUCAUGCAUUCUUCAUUGUCGAGGCCGCUUCUAUUCUUGGAUCUUGUUCAUUAUGUGGGCUUUGGGAAGAGAAAUUUAGUUUGAGAGAGGAAUUUUGUUGGAGGGAAGAAUCAAGUUUGAGAACAGAGAGGGAAACAAGCUGAGAGACAUUCUUCAGGGAGGAGUUUCUGUUAGAGAGAGAGGUACGGUGGCUUGGAUAAUGGGGAUUAUUAGGGAGGUGCUGCCGAGGGGGGUUUUCAGGAGAGGGAGCAGAGAUGGAGAGAGGAGAGAUUGAGGAACAGGAGGAGUUUUUUCUGGGGAGGAUUUCCUGGAGCGUUGCUGCGACAGAGAAAGGAUAGCUGGAGCUGGGUGGAAGGGAGGAAAAUGGGUAGCAGGUGAAGGGUACUCAAGUGGUUUUCUUUUUAGUUUCC